rnacentral:lncRNA from 1 species
UUUAUUAAAAAACUCAUAAACAUAAGAAUUGGAAAAAAAACUUAAAUUUUCCGUCCAUUUCUUUUCUUUUCUGUCCAUUUUAAAACUCAGAAACAGAGCGUAAAAGGGGGGAAAUUUAGGCUUAACCACAUACUGUAUAUACUAAGGUUGUGUUUGAUAAAAUUGAAUAUUAAGAUCUGAACAGUUUAGACAUCUGAAUAAUAUAUAACAUCUGAAUAGAAUUGUAUCUGAAUAAAAAAAUGUUGUUUGAUAAUGAAUUUUUUCAAAAUGUCUUAAUAACAGUAUUUUAC